UGGACGUCUCUGGCACUGAUAUCCGCCAUCAAUCACUUGACAUUUGUACUGUACGAGGCCAGUGGCAUGCUGACACAUGGCUUUUCAGUGGGAGGAGAUGAGAAGAGUUAGUGGGAUGAUUCUGGAAAAGGCCCGGCAAGUUCGGCGAUGAUGGAUGCAACCCCCACCAGAGACUUGACUUUGUGCAGAGGGGAUAGUCCCCAUGGCGAUAAGGUUACUGAUGAACGAAAUCGCCUCAAGAGUGGGUUCCCCACAAGAGAUGGCGAGAUGAUCAAAAAGGUGUCGUCUUUGUACUAGGUCCAUGAGGAUGAGGAUAGAGGAUGAAGACGAUUUGAGCGGCUUCUUCUGUAUCGGGAUCAAGACACUUGGGACAAAGCAAUAUUGGAAAGUCCUGGACAGCGGGAAUCACUCGCUUGUAUCCUUUCCCUCACAGUGAGCUCUGUUUAUGAAGCAUUUGUCCUUCUGUGAAUUUGCGGAGUGUUUCUGCUAUCUCUUCUGCAAAAAUCAGGUACCACUUUCCAUCCAGGAAGGAGUACAAAAGAUGACUUGGGACUUAUCCCGUUACAGAGGGACCAAGUGAAAGAUGAGCUUAAGUUAAGAUGCCUCAGUGGACUUGUAGGGACAUUAUGAUGAUUCACCCUUUCCCUACCCUCGUUAUUAGAAUCGUCGGAGCGCUUAAAGGAUACGAAAUCAUGAUAAGACCGCCUGAGAAGUCAAUAUUUUGUUAAAUAGUUGAAAUUAACAAUUAGGAAAGUGUCAUUACCUGUGGUCAUUAUCAUGGACAAUGAAACAUUAAGGGAGGUGAACUCUCGUAAAUAUAAAAAUUGUCUAUCGU